rnacentral:rRNA from 1 species
CGGGUGGUAAUGCCGGAUGCUCCAGUUGGAUGCAUGUCCUUCUGGGAAAGAUUCAUCGGUAUGGGAUGGGGUCGCGUCCUAUCAGCUUGAUGGCGGGGUAACGGCCCACCAUGGCUUCGACGGGUAGCCGGCCUGAGAGGGCGACCGGCCACAUUGGGACUGAGAUACGGCCCAGACUCCUACGGGAGGCAGCAGUGGGGAAUAUUGCACAAUGGGCGCAAGCCUGAUGCAGCGACGCCGCGUGCGGGAUGACGGCCUUCGGGUUGUAAACCGCUUUUGACUGGGAGCAAGCCCUUCGGGGUGAGUGUACCUUUCGAAUAAGCACCGGCUAACUACGUGCCAGCAGCCGCGGUAAUACGUAGGGUGCAAGCGUUAUCCGGAAUUAUUGGGCGUAAAGGGCUCGUAGGCGGUUCGUCGCGUCCGGUGUGAAAGUCCAUCGCUUAACGGUGGAUCCGCGCCGGGUACGGGCGGGCUUGAGUGCGGUAGGGGAGACUGGAAUUCCCGGUGUAACGGUGGAAUGUGUAGAUAUCG